UACGUAGGGUGCGAGCGUUAAUCGGAAUUACUGGGCGUAAAGGGCGCGUAGGCGGCCUGUUAAGUCGAACGUGAAAUCCCCGGGCUCAACCCGGGAACUGCGUCUGAUACUGGCAGGCUUGAAUCCGGGAGAGGGAUGCGGAAUUCCAGGUGUAGCGGUGAAAUGCGUAGAUAUCUGGAGGAACACCGGUGGCGAAGGCGCAUCCUGGACCGGCAUUGACGCUGAGGCGCGAAAGCCAGGGGAGCAAAGCGGG
rnacentral:rRNA from 1 species